GGUAAAGUCCUGUUUAUUUGGAUUAUGGAGUUGAUAUAUAUACUAUUGGUUAAACACAAGUAUUGCCCAAGUUUUUUUUUCAUUUUAUGUUGAAGGGUUGAACUUAUAGAACUUGUUUUAAUUUGAUGACUAGGUAGUGGUAAAACAACGUUUCUCCAUCGGCUUGUUUGCCACACAAUGGCAUCCAAUAUGCGGGGUUAUGUUUUGAACCUUGAUCCUGCCGUCUUGACCCUCCCAACAACAACAACAACAACGACCCAGUAUAAUCUCACUAGUGGGGUCUGGGGAGGGUAGUGUGUAUGCAGACCUUACCCCUACCCUGGGGUAGAGAGGCUGUUUCCGAUAGACCCUCGGCUCCCUCCCUCCAAGAACUCCCCACCUUGACCCUUCCAUUUGGUGCAAAUAUUGAUAUUAGAGACACUGUUCGAUACAAGGAAGUCAUGAAGCAAUUCAAUCUUGGGCCAAAUGGAGGAAUUCUCACUUCGCUAAACUUGUUUGCCACGAAGUUUGAUGAGGUAAAGCUUGAUAUGAUCUGAUUUUUUUUUUAUUGAAUGCGUGAGAAGAAUUUUUCUUUCGUCUUUUUCUUAAACGUAUGUGGUCUAGAGAAUGCUUGUUUGUAGUUUCCUUCCUCUUUUAUCUUUGUGGUAUACCGUCUUCUCUUUGGCUGAUCACUUAUUGUGGUAAACGAGAUGGAUUGGAUGAAUUUCUCGAUAUUAGCUAGCAUAAAUCAUAGUGUAUUUGCAUUUUAGUCAGCUAUUGAUUAUGGGCCUAUAUGAAUUCAACAAUAAAAUUGCUCAAACACUUGGACAAUAUUUUGUGUCGGUGAUCUGAAUUACAUAAUUUCAUUCAAUCCACUUAUCCUAUUCAGCUUUUAAUCUUCAUGUUCUUGUUAGACCUGUUGGAUUAUGAAGUCCAAUUUUAGAUCUUAUCACAUCUCAUUAUGUUCAAUCAUAUUCCCUUAGGUUCUAGUUUACUCCUAAGAAAUUUGAAGUUGGUC
rnacentral:lncRNA from 1 species